GUGUUUGUAGAAAGGAGAGAUGGUUGACAUCUCCCCGACCGGGACGGGAAUGGCUUUCGGGCCUUACCUAUUACCACAUAUCCGGUUAAGGCUAUCCACUUCGGUGGAUAUAUAACCCAAUUUUUUA